rnacentral:sRNA from 1 species
UAGAUAUACUUCUUUUGCUGCCUUCAUC